GAGUUUGAUCGUGGCUCAGGAUGAACGCUGGCGGCGUGCUUAACACAUGCAAGUCGAACGGACGGAUUGGAGCUUGCUCCAUGAAGUUAGUGGCGGACGGGUGAGUAACGCGUGGGUAACCUGCCCUAUGCAGGGGGAUAACGUUUGGAAACGAACGCUAAUACCGCAUAAUCUAGUUGGUUCGCAUGAACCGGCUAGCAAAGAUUUUAUCGGCAUAGGAUGGACCCGCGUUGGAUUAGCUAGUUGGUGAGAUAACAGCCCACCAAGGCAACGAUCCAUAGCCGGCCUGAGAGGGUGAACGGCCACACCGGGACUGAGACACGGCCCAAACUCCUACGGGAGGCAGCAGUGGGGAAUAUUGCACAAUGGGGGAAACCCUGAUGCAGCGACGCGCGUGAAGGAUGAAGUAUUUCGGUAUGUAAACUUCUAUCAGC
rnacentral:rRNA from 1 species